GUCCGUGUGUAGCGCACGGACAUAUAUUGCAGACGGAAUGCUGCGUGGGGGACCGUGAAAAACAUUGCAAAGGAACGCCCGUGGCUUCUCGAUCGGGUGGGUUCUCUUCCAUGUCCAUAAUUCAUGGCACCGUGACUCAAUGAGACGAUGGCUUCCCCAACACACAUGAACAGCUUCGGUCGUGUCCUUCGAAGACGGACUCACGGCGUCGAGUGGCGGUAACGAAAAGUGUCACGGGGGCGGAAACGAUAAGAAAAGUGGCGUCCUGGCUGCUUUGAAGAACUCACGCCAGUUCACCUGGUGGGCUCAACUGUGACGACGCAACACACAAGGAACCCUUCUGGGCUUGUCUCCAUGGUAACCACAGCGGGGAUGGUGUCCUUGGCAGCGACGAAGGGAUGGAGAUGAGGAGAGGAGAGGGAGGAAAAGGAGGGGUGAGCUGGUGACACUUGUUGAACGGUUAAAAGGAUACCUUGACAUUCACAUUUUUUUGUUUUAAAUCUCGCUUGCAUCCAAGCCUUUCUCCGGCUGCGUUGGGAAAUGCGGCCUGUGAACGCUGCCGUGGCCCGUCGAGCGAGUUCACCAUUUUGGAGCCUCGCUCCAGCAUGGAGUGCGUGCUUCUCAAACGCUGAGAUUUGCAGCCAUAAAAAUGAUCUUGAGGACCUUUCCGACCUGUCAAUCACUCGUACAAUAAUAGACAAUCAGAUAAUCAUUGUGCCGCAAGCAAUGCCGGUGGCCACUAGCGUGCGCUUGGAAAAGUUCAUGUUAUGAAGAAAAUGGUCCUCAGAUGCGGUUGGGGAACGGGCAAUUCUGAUGCUAGCUCACAAGGGGCCCGCUUGAUUCAUUUUCCAAAGCCUAAAACGCAGUUGACGAAGUGUCUACGAUGGAUUAAGGCUCGGGGAAUAGCGCACGUACAACUAAAUGUGACCAAUAUCAACAAACACAAGGCUGUAUGUUCAAAGCUAGGUGAGGGAGAAGUACCUUCUCUGAGUUUGAUUUCAUUAUUAUCAGUGCAGGAGAACAACUUUCACUUUGUUAGCGUAUCGCUGACCUGCUGAAUGAAGUGUGUCAUGUUUCAUGCCGAAAAGUCGGGGUUAUUAAUACGUAAAUGCGCCAUGUCACGCAAGAGAAAUGUCUAUGUGCCUAUUUGUAUCACGUCGGACUUAAGACAGAGCACUUGGUUCCGUUAC